rnacentral:lncRNA from 1 species
CCCUGCCUGGACCUUCAGAACAAUAUAAAACUGAAUGAAGGCUAUGAAAGAAGUCACAGGAGGAUUUUUGCAGAGCUUCCAUCCAGUUCAGAAACAAAGCAAUUCAAUACAUGUCUUCAAGAUUUCUAAAGGCAAUGACUUAAUUCUAAGUUCCAUGAAAGCAGGCAUUGUGUGAAUUUCUCCUGCAUCUGGAACUGGCCUAGCACACCAAAUGGAGUCUCACUCUGUCUCCCACGCUGGAGUGCCUCUGAAUGCUGUUUUAGCCAUGGUUCUGGAGAGGGUAGCGACAGGAGCUGUCUAGGUGGGAUCCAGAGGAAAGUACGAAUGAGCAGAAGGGGCAAACUUGUUUACCAAAUUCUCAAAUGAAAAACAAAAUAUUCUUGUGCGGAAUUUCAGAGAAUUGCAGUUCCUGUUUCAGCCUGAACCUCAGAUUUUUCCACCCACAUGGAGUUUGGAGAGUCUUACAACAUGAAGUUCAAAACAGAAACAUUAAUCGCCUCCACACUUUAAUGCCUUGUUUUUCUCCACCACAAAAAUGUUUACCCAGGCUGAAGUACUUUUUCUCCUGAGCCCAGACUUGAUAAUCACUUUCUCAAUCUCUGCUUGUUAAAUGGCUUCUAAAAAUUCUUGGGUAAAUAUGGGUAUGGUUGCAUAAAAGAAAAAUCCCUUAAAGGAUAAGCCAAAAUUUUUCAGUGAUAGUGCAUAAAAGCCUUGUUAUCUUUAAGGCUUGUCUUUUGGUGCAUAGAGCCAAAUAAAUUGCCAAGGCAAAAACAAAAAGAAAGAAAAUCUAGUCUCUGAUUUAGUGCCCAAAAGUUUUUAAUGCUUUGGGUCCUCCAGUUGCUCUAAGAAUUUUUUGUGGCUUUGAAGCUUUUUAUCAGGUUUUAAUUUUAUCCUUAUAUUUUGACUGAUAUUUCCAUUAAAUGAAUUAGGGGAUGUACAAUAUGCCAACCAUAUACUACAUAAAAGUAUUGUCACUCAGGCCUACAAAGUGCCUAACAACCAAACAGAAUAUUCACUGCAAAUGACUCAUGGAAUGUUACCUGAGAGAGUAAUAAAUAUUCUUUCAACAUUCAUCCAAGUAAAUAAGCUCUGUCAGGAAAGAAUGUUCAGAAGCAAAGGGCCCUUCACUGGAAAAGAGGUAACAAUAAAUAUAUAAGAAAGGAAGAGAAGAUAUGAAGAUUUUAGAUUGUCUAAGGGGAAGUGUUUAUAUGUAAAAGGAAAAUGUAAAAUAUGAUGACUAUCUCUUAUUGUAUAAUAUUCCUUACAUAAAAAUAAAUCUACUUGCCAUUAAUUUAUUUUUCUAAUGUAGAAAUUAGACAUGUGAUUCAUUAUUUUCUAGUAGCCAUUAAUCAAGUAUGAUCAUGUUCUGCCGACUUAUCCUCUGGAAGAAGGCUGUUCUCCAAUAGGUCAACUUUCUCCAAGUCCCAGCUAAUAUAUCACCCAUGUUAUGAUGCCUUGUUUCUGAAACUCUUCAGCUGAAUUAUGUUGUCCCUCCAAUGACUUUUCCUACAGC